rnacentral:lncRNA from 1 species
AUGAGUGUGCACACUCACGACACACGCAUGCUCACUAAUUCACUUCUCAUUCAGCUAACAUUUCCUGAGCACCUACUAUGUGCCUGGAACGGGGCUGCACACUGGGCACCAGCAUGUCAGCACGGCCGUCGAGGCCGCUGCCCUCACGGAAUUAGAGUCCAACGGAAUACAAGGACCCGACCCGGGUGCAGCAAAACCAAGAGGACUCGCCCUGGGCCGGCUGUCCCCACAUCUCGCUCCUCCCCGUCCAUCAGGAGGACUCGCCCUGGGCCGGCUGUCCCCACAUCUCGCUCCUCCCCGUCCAUCAGGAGGAUGGCCCGCGGCGGGGACAGCUGUUGGCUGAGAAUCAAGGGCUCCUCCAAGUCCACCUUCCACGCCGCCAGCCCCGAGCGUCCAGUAAAACUGCUGGGACUGAGUGAGACGCGGCCUCCAGGGGACGGCUGGCCGGGCCCCGCUCAGCCCCAGGCCCAGGCAGCCUGGCAGAGGGCCCGGCUGCAGGAAGGAGACCAGCUGCGGCGUGUCCUGGAGCAGCCCGUCCACCCGAAGCCCCGUCCAGCUCCACUACUCGCAGGUAGGUGACCUGGAGGAGUGACUCCCCCUCUGGGACUCAGUCUCCCCAUCUGUAAAGCUCCAUCACCAGAGCUCCUCGCAGCCACCAGGGACUCAGCUCCAGCUGGUGGAGCAGAGGGAGGAGGGGGUCGAGGGGAAUCUGCCCUGGGAGCUCUGGGAGGACCAGAGAGGCUGGCCUGGAGGCUGCACAGGUGGCAAGAACGCCCGGCGUCCCCGGCAGGACUGCUCCCAGGGACCCGACGCUGCUGCCUAUGGGCACAGACGCCCCAGCCUGCACUUGACCCUGGGCCCGGGGUCAACAGUGGAGACUCCUCACCACCCUCAGUCCAUGUGGCUUCAUCCUCUCCUGUGCACGAGGUUGUCAUGUGACCCACGCCUGGGCCAACGAGCAUCAUCCCUGGGGCUUUGCUGGACUCCCUGAGGGAGGUAUCUGGUUUCUGCUGAAGUUGCUAAAUUGGUGGAUAGAAGCCUAGAGCUGCUGGGGACCAGUUUGCCCCCAACUGGAAGAGCCUGUCUGAGAAUUUCCUCAAUGCAGGGGAAAGCAGAGCUGAGAAAUGGAGAGAGGAGGCAUCUUAACACUGUAGGAGCCCCUGGAUGUAGCCCGGCCUGAAGCCAUAUGGUCAAUGAGCAAAACUGAGCCAGGUAUUCUGUGUUUCUUUGUUUGUUCUUGGUUUUGUUUUAGGCCAGUUUGAUUUGAGCUCUGCCACUUGCAACCCAGAGACCAAGGAAGGAACUCCAAGGAAACACCUGUUAUAUUGCAGGAAGGUGUGGCAUUAAUUCCGAGAGUCAGGGACCUGGAGGUGAGGAAAGAAGAGUGUGAGAGAUGAGGGUCCCUGGUCCUUUCCCACCAAUAUCCCUCGAGAUGCUGGAAUCCCACCAUCAGCCACUAGAGGAAUUGGGCUGGGGUGUGGGCUCGGCAGGAGGGGCCCUCCAGCGUCACCAGCCCCUCUCCUCCCAGAGGUAGGCAGACAUCCUCCCCUGGGGCCCAGGCUCCCUGCCUGGAGUGAGUGCAGUGCAGCUUAUGGGGAGGGGACGCCCAGAUGCUGCCCUCACAGUCCCACCUUCUCUGAGCCAACAGCCCACCAGGGGCACCGGCCUCUGGCAUCUUCCCUCUCACAUCGGAGGAAACGCCGCUGGAGACGCGGGCAGAGCUGUGUGUUGGCACCAAACACACCUGAGAGCAGGACCGCCCUCUGCCUCCCGCGCUGUGUGACACAGGGCAGGCCCUUGCCCUCCGAGCCUCAGUGUGGCAGCCUGUGACACAGGACAAUGGAAAGGUCCACCCUGCAGGGAGGGAGGCAAUGUGUAUAAAGCCCGGUACACAGCCGGUGCUUAGAAACCCUGUGCGUCCUAGUCCCCAGCAGAACGGCACGGGCAACGGUGCACAGGUAGAAACGGGUCUCCCCUCUGUCCUGAAAUGAGGGGGACAGGAGGGCGAGGCAGGUGGGAAUGUGUGCGGUGUGUGAAGGCAGACCUCACAGGCCACCCGUCCUGACUGUGGAUUCCCAGUUCCUAGUAGGGGUGGAUCUGGUGUAGGAAUUCUCAGCUCGGUGGUCCCGAACCCCAGGGCUGUUCUGAGAAUUGUGGGGGGAUUUUUGAUCAUCAUCAUGAUUGGGGGCCCGUGGACAAGCAGUGCUGUGGCCGGGGGCUCAGACAUCAUGUCCUCAGUACGUGGGACAGUUCUGUACCCCAUCCAGCCGGCUUCCCACGCCCAGCGGACGGUCACGGAGCCGGAAUCCCUCCCAGCUGGGGUCGUGGUUGGGUCUCCUCAGGAGCAGCCCUGCGUCCAGGACCCGAGGGACUCCGGCGUAGGCGUCGGGGAGGGAACACAGUGGACACCAAGGUGCGGACAGACACGUGACCUUGAGGGCCGGCACUCAGGCUGCAGGGCCCCGGGGAGAUGGUCCAGGGCGAUGCUGGCAUCUGCGAGCCCCGGGCCGCUAACGCAUGUGCACACACCCUUCCUCGUGUGCACUGAGGCCGCCCCUGGGGCCCGAGCUCCCUGGACGUCCCCCUGCAGCUCGUGAGCGUCAGCCUCGGGGACAGAGAGCGUCUGAGGCGGAGGCGGGGGGCUGGGAGCACGCUGGUGCCCUAGGAAGGAAGGGGCGGGGGGCAUGGGGCCAACAGGGUGACAACUGCUUCUGGGUUUACCCUCUUCCCGGGAUUCUAGGAUGCGCUGGAGUUUUAGGAAAGCAUCUCCCGCUGACAUUGAGGGCAGACCGUCCACCGGAUGGAACACCCACCGCAGCGCUCUCGUGGGGUCAGAUCCCCGCAGGGCAGGCGGGCCAGUCUGCGGUUGUCGCCAUGGCGGUCACUGUCCUGCGCUGCCGGCCUCGGUCCAGGGCCGGUGCGCUCAGGACUCGCACAUGACAAACGCUCCAUCAGAGCCAAGGACGUGUCGCUAGCAUGGCUGCGUCUCACCUUUGCAUAGCGGUCAGGGCCCUCACUGACCCCUGUGUGACAACGUGAGGCUACGACACGUCACUCGAGGACCGUCACUCGGAACCGUGAGGGAGCCGUUCCCAGGCGUUCCUCGUUUGCCGGCCUGCUUGGUGGGGUCUCCGUCCAGGAUCUGAGCCACAGCAUCGAGCGCGUCCUCCCCCAGCCCCCGACUCGCCCGGGAGGCUGAGAAGCAGCAGCGGGGCCGCGGUCCAGGCUGCCCGCAGAGCCUUCCUCCGGAGGAGCAGACAGCGCACGUGACAGGGGCCCCGAGAGCCCCCAGGCCUGGGGACCAGGGAGGCCUUCCCUGGGGAGGCGGAGCCCAGCAGAGCCCAGCUGCCGCCCUUCCCCUCCCCCUGGAGCAGCCCCUAGCCCUGAGGUGGGGACAGCAGCUGGAGGGGAUGGGCGUUUCAGAGAGGAGCUGAGGCCACUGCUCCAGCGUGCAGGAAGCACAACUUUUGUUCUUUUCCUCGGCUUAGCGCAAUCUCGGCUGCAUUGGACCAGGUGGGUCAAGCCCAGAUUCUGGAUCCAGGAUGCCAGGUUGGCACCCACCUCCUCCCAGCAGUGUGACCUGGGCCACGUUCACUGGGGUGCUCCGUGCCUCGGUUCCCUCAUCUGUGAAAUGGGGCAAUACUAGAAUCCUUUCCUAGUGUUGCUGAGAGGAUUAAAACACGUUCCCAUGGAAACACUUAGAACAACGCCUGCGAGUUAGCUGUCUUUACUUCUCUUUUCUGCACAGAUGCUGGAAACCUGACCUCAGGCAAUUUGUUGCUGAUCCUUCCCCUUUUCCGAGGAUUUACCUGUUCCAGGUGACAGGCGGACCAACAUGGUCCUCAGGCACCAUCCCUCUGACCCGUCAGACUGGGUCCUGGGUGUUGGCUCCACGGUUGCCAUGGAGACGCUCCUUGUGCCUGUCCCUCCUGGCCUGACCAUUGGCUCUGCUACUUCAGUGACCCCUGGUGCUUGUGGAGGUCACCCCGUGGCUCCUGCACUGGGAGGGAGAAGCGCUCUCUGCCAUCCUCACAGACUUGACUACUCAGGGCAGGGGUGGCAAAUGCAGGUGCCUGAGGGGUGGGCUGGUGACCUGAGUGUGGGAACGGGCCGGUGGGGACUGCAGGAGAGCACUGGCCGUGUGUCGGGGUGGCUGUUCCUCAGCUCUGACCACUUGUCCCGUGAGGGAAGCCAUGCCCCGUCCGGCUUACUUUUGUGGUUUUGAAUGAAGUUGGGGUUUUCGAUGUGCAAUAAACUGUAGUUUUUCUUUUAAUAGUGGCA